rnacentral:rRNA from 1 species
AAAGGGCGCACGGUGGAUGCCUUGGCACUUGGAGCCGAAGAAGGGCGUAGUAAGCAACGAUAAUCCUCGGGAAGCCGCUAACAGGCGAUGAUCCGGGGGUACCCGAAUGGGGCAACCCUGCACGAGUCAUGUCGUGUAACUCCCUGCUGAAUAUAUAGGCAGGGUAGAGGCAAGCCGCUGAACUGAAACAUCUAAGUAAGCGGAGGAGAAGAAAGCGAAUGCGAUUCCCUGAGUAGUGGCGAGCGAAACGGGAACAGCCUAAACCACCUACACGCUACAGCCUUGCGGCGAUGUGUGGGCGGUGUUGUGGGGCACUUUUUGCUGGGGCGCAAGACCCGGCGGUCAGUUACCAUACCGGACGGUAGUCGAAUCUCUCUGGAAAGAUGAUCCAUAGAAGGUGAAAGACCUGUAGACGAAACCAACCGGCCUGACUUAAAGUGUUCCCGAG